UGUGCAUCCCUCCUGAAGAUCCACGCUCAGUAGAAGAGGACAAGGAUCUCGGAUAGAAGAAGUUCAUCGAUCUUUGGUCAAGGGUAUACGAUAGCUCUUUUCCCCCUGCUAUGACUUCCAAGCAUAGCAUUGCUAAGGCAUCGCUGUAACUG
rnacentral:sRNA from 1 species